rnacentral:tRNA from 1 species
GCUUCCAUGGCUCAGUUGGCAGAGCGAUUCACUCAUAAUGAACAGGCCACCUGUUCGAAGCCGAUUGGAAGCU